AUUGAACGCUGGCGGCAUGCCUUACACAUGCAAGUCGAACGGCAGCACGGGGCAACCUGGUGGCGAGUGGCGAACGGGUGAGUAAUGUAUCGGAACGUACCAUUGAGUGGGGGAUAACGUAGCGAAAGUUACGCUAAUACCGCAUAUUCUCUCCGGAGGAAAGCAGGGGACCGCAAGGCCUUGCGCUCUUUGAGCGGCCGAUAUCAGAUUAGCUAGUUGGUGAGGUAAAGGCUCACCAAGGCGACGAUCUGUAGCGGGUCUGAGAGGAUGGUCCGCCACACUGGAACUGAGACACGGUCCAGACUCCUACGGGAGUCAGCAGUGGGGAAUUUUGGACAAUGGGGGCAACCCUGAUCCAGCCAUGCCGCGUGAGUGAAGAAGGCCUUCGGGUUGUAAAGCUCUUUCGGCCGGGAAAAAAUCGCAUGGGCUAAUACCCUGUGUGGAUGAUGGUACCGGAAUAAGAAGCACCGGCUAACUACGUGCCAGCAGCCGCAGUAA
rnacentral:rRNA from 1 species